UCUUCUUCUUCACCAAACAAAUUUGAGAUUAACGAUGAAUAUGCAGAUCUGGAGAAGCUGUAAAAUUGGUAAAUCAAGCUCAGAUUUAUAAGCAGAGAACUAAGAUUUUGGAUUUCUCUACGCAUGUGUCUGAUCUCGAAUCGGAGUCAUCAGAUCUCCGAGAACUUGUCACCAAGAAAGAUAAAUAAAUUGCCAAGCUGCAAUCUCAUGUUGAUUCUCUCCAUGCUUCUCUCUCCAUUGCGUUUCAAAUGCUUUCUCUCGCCGAUGGUGAAAAGGUUAGACCCGGUUUUGACUUUUUUUUAAUCCGAUGUGUUUUUUGAUUUGACUAUCUUGUUCUUCGGAAAAUUGGAGGAGAGUUUGAUAAGAGUGAAUGCUUCAUUGUCUAAUAUUAUGAAGAGACUUCAAAUAAGCUUGAGAGUUUUACGGAGACAUUUAUGAUGUCUCUUCAAGAUGAUGACCAAAAUGUUUGGAUUUAUCUUGGGGGUUUAUAACAGGCAGACCCGAUUUAUCUACAGAUUAUUGGCAGGCAUAACACAAAACAUUUGAGUUGUCAAGAAAAGAGAGGGACAAGCUAGUGUUCCUGGUAGAGAUCAGUUUGCUUAUUGCUUUGGAAUUUCAUUCAUAGGUAUAUGGUAAUGAUGAAUGGUCUUACGGGUAUUGUGAGGAACUAUGUAUUCAGCUGUCCUGUGGUACGAAUCCAAUGUACACAUAUCGUGAGAAAAUUGUUCUUGGGAAGACAGAUUGCACACCCUUCAUGGUAAAUCAGAUCUUGUGUGAGCUCAGCAGGGAAUGGCCAAGAUAAACUUAUGAUUUUCUGUCAAAAAAUUGCAAUCACUUCUGCUAUGUACUCUGUGACAAGCUUGAUGUGCCAAAGAUCCCAUGUAAAGCCAUAAUUUGAGGAUUAGAGUAAGUAUGUUUAUGUGUGUUGGCCUUCAAGGCUCAUGUGACUGCUUAGGUUCUGUCUCUUAACAGGUUGGGUGACUCGCUUUUCUCAUGUUGGUGACACAGCCUUGGAAGUGGAAGAAAACACAGCAAUGUAUACACAGCUGAGUACAUAAUAUGUAAUGCUACUAGUCUAAAGAUGGCGACAUUCUCGACAAAAUGUAGAAACAAAAAUCAUCGUAUGUUAAGGAUGUUAAAGCCUACGGGCAAAGUUUCAAAGACAUGUCAGCUUGUGUAUGAUUAACUCUUAUGCCGUGUGUGUCUCUACCCAAGAAUACACAUAGCUAGGUUCUUAAUUACUUAUACAUUUUGUUAACAUAUUGAAAGAAAAAAGUUACACUACAUGUAA